rnacentral:rRNA from 1 species
GUGGGGAAUAUUGGACAAUGGGGGGAACCCUGAUCCAGCCAUGCCGCGUGUGUGAAGAAGGCCUUUUGGUUGUAAAGCACUUUAAGCGAGGAGGAGGCUACCGAGAUUAAUACUCUUGGAUAGUGGACGUUACUCGCAGAAUAAGCACCGGCUAACUCUGUGCCAGCAGCCGCGGUAAUACAGAGGGUGCAAGCGUUAAUCGGAUUUACUGGGCGUAAAGCGCGCGUAGGUGGCCAAUUAAGUCAAAUGUGAAAUCCCCGAGCUUAACUUGGGAAUUGCAUUGGAUACUGGUUGGCUAGAGUAUGGGAGAGGAUGGUAGAAUUCCAGGUGUAGCGGUGAAAUGCGUAGAGAUCUGGAGGAAUACCGAUGGCGAAGGCAGCCAUCUGGCCUAAUACUGACACUGAGGUGCGAAAGCAUGGGGAGCAAACAGGAUUAGAAACCCGAGUAGUCC